GGGCCAGUUUGGGUGCUGUACGGCUCAAUGCCUCUAUCUGUCAGUCUGCUCACAGAAGGUCUGCAUCCAGAAGUUCGACAGCCCAUCCCUAUGUGUCCUUGAGAGGCCUGGAGGUAGGUUACCUUCUUUAGUCACCAUGGUGAAGGGAUUCCCAUGGUACCUUGUAGUUUGACGGAGUUGCCUAGGUGCAGCUUAAUAGUUAACUACAUUUCCUUGGAGACACAGAAUACGACAAAUGCUGAAACCUGGAACUACAUGUAAAAUACUGGACGAACUCUCAUUUCUCCCCCGUUCCAACAGGCAGAAAAUAUGAAAGUUUGCGAACACACCGUCAUGCUCUAGGACUGCCUCUGUCCCACCGUUAUCAGACGCUGAGCAGAAAUCUUGUCUGAUAAAGAUAAGUUCUCGAUCUCACAGUCUCGCUCAUCGUACCUACUGUGGUGGUCUCUCGCACUGCGUUCCCGAGGGAAGGUCCUUGCAUCAGAAUGGUCUCUCUCCCUCCCUCGAUGCUGUUGGAGGAUGGCGCCGGAGCAAGGUUCAAUCGACGUGAUUGCUCAAACUGGUAAAAACAAUUAUUAAUAUUAUUAACAAGAGAGAUUCUGCAGAUACUGGAAAUUUGAGCAAAACACAGAAAAUGCUGGAGGAACUCAGCAGGCCAGGUGGCAUCUAUGGAAAAAAGUACAGUCGACAGUACAGGAAGUAAUGUCCCGCAAACCCCGUCAGAGCUGACGUUCAUCUGAUGUCACCACCAACCUCGCUUGGAAUUGUUUAUUCGUUCUUGAAGUAGCCCUCUGCAAGCCAGACCUGGUUUUCUUGGAGAGACCUGGGUCACCAGGUGCUCUGGAUUCCUCCCACAUUCCAAACACGUGCAGUCAGGGUUUCUGCCUGACCUGCUGAGUCCCUCCAGCAUUUUGUGUGUGUUAAUCUGGAUCCAGUGACAGAGAAGGAGCUGAGAUGUGAUUUGGAGGGGAGCUGGCAGGUGUGCUGAUGGAGAAGACUCGAUGGGCCAAAUAGCCUAGUUCUGCUGAAACGUCUUAUGGUCUAUCUCAAGCCAAGAAACUGUAAAAUACUGCAUGACUAAUCCAAAGCAACACACAUAAAAUACAUGAGGAAUUCAGUAAGUCAGGCAGCAUCUAUGGAAAUAAAUAAACAGUAGCCGUUUUGGGCCGUGACCUUUCUUUAAUAUCAGGUUUAAUAUCACAGGCAUAUGUCGUGAGAUGCAUUGACUUUGCAGCAGCAUUACAAUGCAAUACACAAUAAUAGAAAAACACCGUGAAUUACAAUUAGUAUAUAUAUGUUAAAUACUCAAAUUAAGUAUGGAAUGCAAAAUAAAAAAUAAAAAAAUAAGUGAGGUAGUGUUCAUGGUUCAAUUCAGAAAUCUGAUGGCAAAGGGAAAGAGGCUGUCCCUGAAUCAAUGAGUGUGCGCUUUCAGGCUCCUGUACCUCCUCCCUGACGGUAGCAAUGAGAACAAGGCAUGACCUGGAUGAUGGGGAGUCCUUAACGAUGGAUGUUGCCUUUUUGAGGAAACACUCAGGACUGGGAUGGAAG